UUGAAGAGUUUGAUCAUGGCUCAGAUUGAACGCUGGCGGCAGGCCUAACACAUGCAAGUCGAGCGGUAGCACAGAGAGCUUGCUCUCGGGUGACGAGCGGCGGACGGGUGAGUAAUGUCUGGGAAACUGCCUGAUGGAGGGGGAUAACUACUGGAAACGGUAGCUAAUACCGCAUAACGUCGCAAGACCAAAGUGGGGGACCUUCGGGCCUCAUGCCAUCAGAUGUGCCCAGAUGGGAUUAGCUAGUAGGUGGGGUAACGGCUCACCUAGGCGACGAUCCCUAGGUGGUCUGAGAGGAUGACCAGCCACACUGGAACUGAGACACGGUCCAGACUCCUACGGGAGGCAGCAGUGGGGAAUAUUGCACAAUGGGCGCAAGCCUGAUGCAGCCAUGCCGCGUGUGUGAAGAAGGCCUUCGGGUUGUAAAGCACUUUCAGCGGGGAGGAAGGCGUUAAGGUUAAUAACCUUGUCGAUUGACGUUACCC
rnacentral:rRNA from 1 species